rnacentral:piRNA from 1 species
UAGAACUUAUAUCUCAAGGUGGGUGGC